AUGGAUAAGCCAAAAAUUCAUGUUAUUUUCAAAUAUGAGCUCCAUCACAGAACCAAUGCUGCACAGACAGCUCGAAAUAUCAAUGUGUUUGGGAAGGAUGUGGCUAAUGAACACACAGUACAUCAAUGGUUUGAGAAGUUCCAUUCUGGUGAUUUCAAUCUUGAAAAUGAGUCAUGUGGGCAACAUGAGACCAAAGUGGAUAAUGAUGAGGUGAAAGCCAUAGUGGAAGCAAAUCCAUCUCAACCUAAGUGUGAAUUACCAGAAAGGUUCAACAUUAUUAUUCCAACAAUAUUGGACCAUUUGAAACAAAUCAGCAAGACUUCCCACAUCGGGAACUACAAAGUUGAUGCCUGGUACUUCUCACUGUUCCCUGAAGACUACGGGAAACAGCCCAAGCUCUGGCUGUGCGAGUACUGCCUCCAGUACAUGAAAUACGAGAAGAGCUACCGCUUCCACUUGGGCCAGUGUCAGUGGUGGCAGCCCCCUGGGAUUUACCGCAAGAGCAACAUCUCUGUGUAAGAAGGACGGCAAGACCACAAGAUUUACUGUCAGAACCUGUGUCUGCUGGCCAAGCUCUUCCUGGACCACAAGACGUUGUACUUUGACGUGGAGCCCUUGGUCUUUUACAUUUUGACUGAGGUGGACAGGCAAGGGGCCCACAUUGUCGGCUACUUUUCUAAGGAGAAGGAGUCUCCAGAUGGAAACAACGUGGCCUGCAUCCUCACCCUGCCCCCACCAGCACCGUGCUACAGAAAGUUCCUUGUUGCUCCCAGUGACGAGCUCUCCAAGCUAGAGAGCACAGUAGGCUCCCCAGAGAAGCCGCUGUCUGGCCUGGGCAGACUCAGCUACUGCAGCUAUUGGUCGUGGGUCCUGCUGGAGAUCCCGCAGGACUUCUGGGGCACGCUGCCCAUCAAGGACCUUAGCCAGAUGGCCAGUAUCACCCAGAAUGACAUCACCAGUACCCUGCAGUCCCUCAACAUGGUCAAGUACUGGAAAGGCCAGCAUGUGAUCUGUGUCACACCCACACUGGUAGAGGAACACCUUAAAAGUUGCCCACCCAUCACAGUGGACUCUGUCUGCCUCAAGUGGGCACCCCCAAAACACAAGCAAAUCAAACCCUCCAAGAAGUGAGCAGCCUGUGCCCCUGCCACCAGACCCAUGCCUCUUACCCCCAGCCUGUAAACAUGCACAGACCUGUUUUCUCAUUUUUUGAAUAAAGUAAAUUCUGGUG